ensembl:lncRNA
GGUACUGAGGUGCUGAGGUACUGAGGUACUGAGGUACUGAGGUGCUGAGGUAUUGAGGUGCUGAGGAACUGAGGUACUGAGGAACUGAGGUGCUGAGGUACUGAGGUGCUGAGGUACUGAGGUGCUGAGGUACUGAGGUGCUGAGGAACUGAGGUACUGAGGAACUGAGGAACUGAGGUACUGAGGAACUGAGGUACUGAGGUGCUGAGGUACUGAGGUACUGAGGUGCUGAGGUAUUGAGGUACUGAGGUACUGAGGCACUGAGGUGCUGAGGUACUGAGGUGAAUCCAGAUGUUCUUGAAUGAUGAUGUCUUCUGUAGGAUGGAAAUAGGCUGUAAUGAGUAGCAUACUAGAAACUAGACAUUUGUUUUACACAUUUAACUUAACAGUAAAUGGCAGUCAGUUGAAUGUUUUUAAUUGCUCUUUUGUAUCAUUUCUUUUUUUAAGGCAACUGAAUAUUGACACAACACUAUUCAACAUGACACAAAAUCCACACACUAACCCUGGCAAACCUUGGGCUCGAUUCAAUCCGUACAGCGGAAGUUUAGACCUAUA